GUGGGCGGAGUCAGGCCAGGUGGAGUAGGUGGAGCUGGGCCAGGUGGAGUAGGCGGAGUCGGGCCAGGUGGAGCGGGCGGAGUCUGGUCUGGAGUGGGCGGAGCUGGCGCAGGAGGCCUGCCGGGUGGAGGUGUGAGGUAUCCAGGUGCAGGACUGGGAGCAGGGAAGCCCUCUAAAGCAGCUAAAGCAGCGAAGUACGCCUCGCUCCUGGGUUUGCUGGGUGCUGGGGGUUACAGAGGGGGCGCCGGAUGUCAAGGGAAGUACUGCGGCAGACGGCGAAAGUGAACGGCCCCAAGAAUGACGUGACCUCAAGAAAUAUUGGUGCUACUGCAUGAUCUGGAGAAUGUACAUUUGUUAUUUACAAAAAAAAUUUUUUUUACGUUUUGUACUGUACUUCUGUCACUGAAAUAUUAAACAUUUUUAAAUCAAU